AUCAGUGAACAGCAGACAGCUGAUCUGUGUUUAUUCACUCAAGACUGAACCUGAGAUCAGAUCACCACACAGUGACACAUACACCAUCAGAGCAGCGACCUCUACUGGUAAAACUUUGCCAACAACCACAAAAACAAGUUCAACAUCAACCACCACUGAACAAACUACUACAACAGCCAUUAAAACCUCAUCGACUGUAAUGUCCACUUCUGAAAGUACAACAUACAGUAAAACUGGCAAGUAACAAAUAACAACAUUUCUGGUUAUUCCAUAUUAAAUCUGAGAAAGGAUUCCCUUCUGAAAGUGAUUUCCCCUGCAAUGUGUUAUUUUUAUAGGCCACCAGUCCAAGGCAAACCUGCCAACUAGCAUGACAAAGUAAACUACAAAUAAGUUCAUCAGUGCUCAAUGACAAAAGUCUCAGUGUAAAAUGAAUAUGGUGGAGUCAAAAGUCAUAAUAAAUAAUAAAGCUGGGGUCCAUUUUCAAAGUUUAGUCACAAGCAUAAGCAGUCACAUAAUUCAACAAUAAUGUGCUUCAUGAUUAUACUUUUUUUCCAACAUGGUUAUGGGCUGUUCACACGAAUGCAUUUUUCCAUUCAAUUGUGUUACUUUUUGUAAUGAGGACUCGUCGGAAGCGUGUAAGAUCCAAGUGUGAGCUUUUAUUUACAGAUCGUAGUCAGACAGGCAGGGUCAGUAUCCAGACAAACAGAGUGACGAAGGCAACACAAUAACGUAAUCCACAAAACAGGCAGAGUCCAAAAACCAGGGAGAGCAGUCCAAAAGGUAACAAAUAAACAAGGAAAGGAACAAUAGCAAAAACUAGACAGAACUAUGAAUAUAAAACAAAACCGUGGCAAUGAAAACAGAGAUAAACGCUUGGUAGAGUCCACAAGAGCAAAACAAUACUUUACAGCUUCCUGUUUGAAAAUGGCCUCCUUUUAUUGCCACCAAACAGGAAGUUACCAAUGAAGCAGCAGAGGGAGC